NUUACAAUUAACAAGAAUCCCUAUUAGGGAUUGAAAC
rnacentral:other from 1 species